UACGUAGGGCGCGAGCGUUAAUCGGAAUUACUGGGCGUAAAGCGUGCGCAGGCGGUUUUGUAAGCCAGAUGUGAAAGCCCCGGGCUUAACCUGGGAAUGGCAUUUGGGACUGCAAGGCUUGAGUGCGGCAGAGGAGACUGGAAUUCCUGGUGUAGCAGUGAAAUGCGCAGAUAUCAGGAAGAACACCGAUGGCGAAAGCAGCUCUCUGGGACGGUACUGACGCUGAGAAACGAAAGCUUGGGGAGCGAACGGG
rnacentral:rRNA from 1 species